GCCGGUUAGCUAUUUAUGACUUCUCUAACGCUUUCUUGAGCUUCAUCCACCAUUUCUCCGGGGUCGAUGCUGUGCGUGAAUGCAUAGAGUCAAUAUUGAAGCUUGUGGAAACUUCCAGAUGAGCGACUCCAUCAAAAGAAGGCAGAGAUGGAGCGCUGCUCACUGGGGAGGAAGCACUGAAGUCACCCUUGCUCUCCAAACUCCCUUUUCCACGGCAACGCUCUCCGCUACACACUCUUCGGUUGAUUUUCUUCAUCUCCUCCGCUCGUGUUUGCCAAGUUGGCUAACGUGCAGAAGGAAGGAAGGACGGAAAAGGAUGAAGGGAUGAAGGCGAAAAGAUAAAGAAGCGUAGUUACACUUUAUGGCCUGAUGGGUUGCCAGGGGAACGCCUCACCUCCUCACUCGCUCGUCUCUGUUUAAUCCGAGCCUGCAUGCGAUGGUGCUGAUAGGCGAUGAAGGCCAUAGUUGCAGCCCAGCCGUCAUUCAGCUCAGCGUGUUAUGGGAACAGAUGUGGGACCGCCCACUUGUCACCUGACAAGUCAGCACGUGGGUUCCAUUAUGAAUUUGUCUCUGCGAUUUGAAGAGGCUGAGAGACAGCCGCAAUGACAGAUUUGGACUCCGUCUCGUCGGGGCAGACUCCCGACGGGGCGCCAGUCAACAUCCUCGCCACAGAGGAAAUGGUUGAGCUGAGCGAGCAGAUGAGAGGACAUGCUUCAGUGAACGUUAUCCAAUUUGAGGAGCAGAGCACCACGGUUGGAAGGAGGUUGACAUUUUACUGACGAAUGACUCCACAUGUCGGGCAAUGACAGAUGACAACUGUGGAAUAACAACGGAAUAAAUGCUAGCAUUUCAAGGCUGGAAAAGUCUAAAUGUCAACAUUCAGGAGGAACAGGGUGGAAGUUAUCUGGCUUCUCCCCCCCCACCCCCUUCGA